rnacentral:rRNA from 1 species
UAAACCGUGGCUCAGUUCAGAUCGUAGGCUGCAACUCGCCUACGUGAAGGAGGAAUCGCUAGUAAUCGCAGGUCAGCAUACUGCGGUGAAUACGUUCCCGGGCCUUGUACACACCGCCCGUCACACCAUGGAAGUUGGCCACGCCCGAAGUCGUUACUCCAACCCUCUGGGAGGAGGACGCCGAAGGUGGGGCUGAUGACUGGGGCGAGGUCGUAACAAGGUAGCCGUACCGGAAGGUGCGGCUGGAUCACCUCCUAACA